rnacentral:rRNA from 1 species
GGAAUAUUGGACAAUGGGGGAAACCCUGAUCCAGCCAUGCCGCGUGAGUGAUGACGGCCUUAGGGUUGUAAACCUCUUUUAGCGGGGAAGAUAAUGACUGUACCCGCAGAAAAAGCCCCGGCUAAAUUCGUGCAAGCAGCCGCGGUAAUACGAAGUGGACUAGCGUUGUUCGGAUUUACUGGGCGUAAAGCGCACGUAGGCGGAUUGUUAAGUCAGGGGUGAAAUCCCAGGGCUCAACCCUGGAACUGCCUUUGAUACUGGCAAUCUCGAGUCCGGAAGAGGUGAGUGGAACUCCUAGUGUAGAGGUGGAAUUCGUAGAUAUUAGGAAGAACACCAGUGGCGAAGGCGGCUCACUGGUCCGGUACUGACGCUGAGGUGCGAAAGCGUGGGGAGCAAAC